GCCUAACGGCCAACUGGUGCGGUAAAAUUUCUCACGCGAAAGAGUUUACCGCAAAGAUAACCAGACGCGGGUCAGAUUCUAGGAACUGAGAGUACGGUUAAAAAGACAUCUCUUGGGACGUAACCUGGACUAAUUGACUCAAGUCUGUGAGUGGAUUUCAGGAAUAUGCAUUUCAGCAAGCUCUUCAGUUUUCCGAAGACACAUUUAUAUGACUACUAUGGACAGGGAGGCCUGGCAUGCUGUGAUUCAUGGGGUCGCAAAGAGUUGGACAUGACUGAGUGACUAAACUGAACUGAACUGAUGGACGGAAUUUUGUCUUCCCCCCGCCCCCAAAUUCAUAUUGAGGCUCUAAGCCCCCUAUGUGACUAUAUUUUGAGGUAAGGCCUUUAG
ensembl:lncRNA